AUUCUCCUGAUUCUCCUUCCCAUCAGAUCAGAAUACUGGUCUUGGUGGUCAUAAAAGGAGGAAAAGUAAUACCGAAGCUGACCUCACUAUGCUGUAGUGUGGUAUAUAAAGUGUGGGCGAGUUGCAAACAAGG
ensembl:snoRNA